rnacentral:rRNA from 1 species
AUACGGAGGGUGCAAGCGUUAUUCGGAAUCACUGGGCGUAAAGGACGCGCAGGCGAGUUGGCAAGUCAGAUGUGAAAUCCUACAGCUUAACUGUAGAACUGCAUUUGAAACUGCUAACCUAGAGUAUGGGAGGGGGAGAUGGAAUUAGUGGUGUAGGGGUAAAAUCCGUAGAUAUCACUAGGAAUACCGAAAGCGAAGGCGAUCUCCUGGAACAUAACUGACGCUAAGGCGUGAAAGCGUGGGGAGCAAACAGGAUUAGAAACCCCAGUAGUCC